UGGUAAUCAGACUGAAGACUCUGUCUUGAUUCAGUCACUAUCAAAUAGUUAUGCACUGGAAUUUGAAAGGAGUGAUCAAACGAGUAAAUUAAGGCUGUUUCUCAGUGAGCUCCUCACACUCAUGGCACAAAGCGAAGAAAUCAGACCAGAAACCACAUACAAAAGCUGUGAACUGUUGUACCAGGAAAUCUAUUUUGAUGAAGUAGCUGAUGUUGCUUUAGCGGAACACUGACAAUUCUGUUACUUAUAACAGAAGUUGCAGAAGCUCUCUUGAGAACACUUCACGGUCCAUAUUUCGAAUAGUGGCUAAUAUGCCUGAUACUUUCAAUGAAGUUUGCCAGAGUUUGAUCAGCAGUGGUGAAAGACAUGAAGAAGAAUCCUUCCUAGGACGGGCCAGAUUAGAAACAGUUAGAUCCCUCUGCAGGAUGUGCCCAAAUUAGAUUUUGAUGAUCCAACUUAAAUGUGUGGAGAUGUGCAGAAUUCUGGCUCUGGCUGUUUUACUUAGUUUGGACUUUGCAUUUUGCCAGAAAAUGAUCAAAACAGUUAAAAUUGAAACCCAGUUGGGAGAUGGAGUACCGUUUAUCUCCAGUCUACUUUUGGGUGGAGAUGCAAAUCCGCUCCUGGUUUUCUCUUUUCAUUAGGAAUUGACAAAAGCGACAUGAUAUCGUCACUGCAAACUUUACGCGACUGAUUGCUUAUUGCAAUCAUGUCUACACGGCUCUUACGAUCACCGCAUCGUCAGCUCACUGCUCCGUCAGCUGGAUCACGAGAUGGUCGUUAAUGAGGAGGAAGAA